rnacentral:rRNA from 1 species
AGUGAACGCUGGCGGCGUGCCUAAUACAUGCAAGUCGAACGGAGAUUAAGUAGCUUGCUAUUUAAUCUUAGUGGCGCACGGGUGAGUAAUAUAUAGCUAACUUGCCCAUUACUAAGGGACAACAGUUGGAAACGACUGCUAAUACCUUAUACUCCGUAUCUAUAUAAGUAGAUACGGGAAAGUUUUUCGGUAAUGGAUAGGGCUAUAUCGUAUCAGCUAGUUGGUAAGGUAAUGGCUUACCAAGGCUAUGAUGCGUAACUGGUCUGAGAGGAUGAUCAGUCACACUGGAACUGAGACACGGUCCAGACUCCUACGGGAGGCAGCAGUAGGGAAUAUUGCUCAAUGGGGGAAACCCUGAAGCAGCAACGCCGCGUGGAGGAUGACACUUUUCGGAGCGUAAACUCCUUUUCUUGGGAAAGAAUUAUGACGGUACCCAAGGAAUAAGCACCGGCUAACUCCGUG